UACGGGGGGAACGAGUGUUAUUCAUCAUAACUGGGCGUAAAGUGCAUGUAGAUUGUAUAGAUUAACUUACAUGAGUAAUUCAUAUUAUGUUAUGUUACUAUACUUGAAUAAUGUAGAAAUUUGUGGAAUUUAAUUUAAAGGGGUGAAAUGCGGUAUAAAUUAGAGACCAACAAUAGGCGAAGGCAACAAAUUAUACUUUAUUGACGUUGUAAUGCAAAAGCAUAGGGAGCAAACAGG
rnacentral:rRNA from 1 species